UACGUAGGGCGCGAGCGUUGUCCGGAUUUAUUGGGCGUAAAGAGCUCGUAGGCGGCUCAUUGCGUCAACCGUGAAAACCAGCAGCUCAACUGUUGGCUUGCGGUUGAUACGGGUGGGCUGGAGUUCGGUAGGGGAGACUGGAAUUCCUGGUGUAGCGGUGAAAUGCGCAGAUAUCAGGAGGAACACCGGUGGCGAAGGCGGGUCUCUGGGCCGAUACUGACGCUGAGGAGCGAAAGCGUGGGGAGCAAACAGG
rnacentral:rRNA from 1 species